rnacentral:lncRNA from 1 species
GGAAAAGGAAUUGUGUUUAAUUUUAUAUUCCCAAUAGCGAGGCUCUUCUUUCUAAAAGUUGGAUGGCGUUAAAUCUACGUGUAUCAUCAACAUGAAAACAAGCGCAGUAUUUAAGGUUGGUAACUUGGUAUACUACAAUGCAUUUAUACAGUUAUCGUGUUAUUUUAUAGUCAAAUUUCCGCUUUGUUGUUUUUAUUCUUGUGCUGUAAUUGCUGCCGAGCGUAGCUCGGCAGCACACUAAUCUCUACACGUGGUGUGCUUACCACGUGACCGCCGAGUUUAUAGCCGCUACAAUCUCGAUUUAUGUCAUUCUGUCAUCCACGGACGGGCCAAAACUAGCUGUUUUGAUAUUAUUUUUUUGUUCCCGGGGGGGUUUGUUCACAACAUGGCGACUGUUAUAAACGGACAGAAAUAUAAAAAUUAUAAAAUAAUGCGAAUUUCCAUAAAAAUUCCGAGUAAUAUUUGUGAAGAUGAAUGGGUAAAUAAAGCACGGUGUUAUUUUGUGUCUCUGGCGCAAGAAUGAUCGACAAUAUUUUGAAUAAUUCAGGUAAGGAUGGCUUUAUUUCGUUCUCGUACAGUGAUGUAGUCGUGCCGUGUGCCCUGUCUACCUGUCUGGUGAUAUAUUUUAUAAUACAUGAAGGCAUUUAUAUUUAAAUCUGCUGUUUAUACUUGUUUAGUCACUUUAGUGUAUUAAACUUCGAUAUAGAGGCAUUGAAACAAAAUGAUUUUAAGAAUAUAUCGGCAAUUAUAAUACCCACUGAAUCACUGAUCUAUUCCCGACCAAAUCGACAGUAAUGAUUAAUGCCUUUAUGCUGAUACAAGAAGCAAAUGAACUUUUAGUUUAUUUGUUUGUUAUGUCACUUAAUAUGUGCAAAGCCAAAGGCGGUGAGUAUAUAAUAGUGUUCGGUAUGUUCUAUUUCUAAAUGUUUAUAGUUUAAAAACAAACGCGGGAUGUUGUUAAAUCAGGCUUAACAAGAUUCCUAGAGCUACCCAGUGUGGAUUGUUGUCUGCAUAUAUGGACUUAUCAGCAAUUACAUGUAAUAUAGCAUAUUAACUGACUUUUGUAUAAGAUAUGACUUGUAUAAGGCCUCAGUUAUAUAUAAAGCCUAUAAACAUGAUUCUACUGGCAUACAUUGAUAUAUACAUAUGGCUGUGUUACCACAAUAAUGCUCACAACUUCAACUUCUUUCUAACAAUAUAGUUUUGCAGUUCUGACUGUUCUGAGUAUGAUCUUAUUCAUUCAGAAAUAUAAGCAUUGCACUGUAUUCAAUGGCAAGCUAUCCUGGAUUCCAGAGCCUUCAGUUAAUAAUAAAUUGAAAUUUCGUGAAGGCUCUGGUUCAACGGGAGGAUUCUUUGAUUAAACUGUGCCAAUCACAAAACAGAAUUAGCAGUUUUAGUACAGAUUUUGGGCGUGUUAACCCAUGAAGCGCCAGCGCUCUCCCCUUGACGAGUAAAAUCGUCUGGCGUUAGACAGAUCGAGUAAAAUACUCUGGCGUUAGACAGAGUAAAAUACUAAAGUAGAGUGCAUCAGGGUGCAAUGCGACCCAAUGGGUUAACUAGACACAUGGGCAGAUAGAUCAGUUAACCCAUUAAGCGCCAGCACUCUCCCCUUGACGAGUAAAAUCGUUUGGCGUUAGACAGAGUAAAAUACUGUUCAAAGUAGGGUGCAUCCGGGUGCAAUGCGACCCAAUGGGUUAACUAGACACAUGGGCAGAUAGAUCAGUUAACCCAUUAAGCGCCAGCACUCUCCCGUUGACGAGUAAAAUCGUCUGGCGUUAGACAGAGUAAAAUACUGUUCAAAGUAGGGUGCAUCAGGGUGCAAUGCGACUCAAUGGGUUAAUAUAGUACAUAACAUAGGUCAUAGACAUACAGUUUCAAUACAAUACAAAAUGAUUUUGAACAACGUCAAGGUCAAUGAAAUCAUACAAAAUGAAUUUAUGGAAUAUCAAUUAAAUGUAUUUAAAACAAACAUAAUUUCAACAUCCCAAUAAGCAAUAACAUCCCAGUAAGUAUAAAUUCAACUAUUUUAAAUCAAUUGUUUGAAUAGCCAAAUUAAAAGUUGUACGAGUGACAAAAUCAUUCAAUAAUAUUCACAUUUUAUCAUUUAUAUUAUGUGUCAACUAUCAAAGUUGCACUGUUAAGUAUAUUAAAAUAUACUUUUCAUAAGAUUAGAUGUAAGAUAUAAUUGUACGAAGGUAACUGAGGAACGACGAUGUGUAAGACAAUAAAUCAUACAUACAGUGAAAAACGCUCUUUUUGUAGCACAUCCUACAUGUACAUAUCGGCAGCAUUUUCCUUGCGAUAGUAACUCCUAGUUUUAUAAAUACACUGUACAAAAUUAUUUGCGUCAUACUUGUGUUUAUAAUGCCUCUAGUUUGACCCUAUUGUGUGUGUAUAUGUACUGUGUCACUGUGAUACAUAUGUACAUGUUUUGAGUUAAUCGAAUUGUUUAAUAAAUUUUUGCUGAAGUAUGAUGCCUGUUACCCUGGAUUCCAGAGCCAUCGACAGUAAAUAAUAAAUUGAAAUGUCGCGAAGGUUUUGUGAUUGGCGCGGUUUAAUCAAAGAAUCGCCCCGUUGAACCAGAGCCUUCGCGACAUUUCAAUUUAUUAUUUACUGUCGAAGGCUCUGGAAUCCAGGGUAGAUGCCUGUUUGUAUUGGAUAGAUUUUUACAUAUAUGUGCAUACAGUCAAAUGAGUCUGAUGGUAUAUUGUUAUUCAGCUAUUUGUAUGCAUUGUUUUAUAAAUUUUUGUUGAGUUUGAUGCCUGUUGUGGAUGGUUGUGAGAAUAUAAUUUUAGAGGUUACAUGUUUGCUAAUUUUAGAGAUGAUAAUGUAUCAAAUAAUAAUUUUCUUAUGAUUUUCUAGAAAGAGAUUUACUUGAGUGGUUAGCUGGUCUUGAGCCUGUUCAGGAUGGGUAUGAUAAUGAAAGAGGUGAUCAAGGUGAUAGGGCAGAAAGGGAUGACGUUUAAGUGAGAAGAUGAAAGUGAUGAGGAAGAAAUUGCCCAUGUUGUACCAUUCAAGUGCAUCGGUGCUGCUUGUGAGAAAAACUACCAACAUCAUUUGGAAAAUUAAAUUAAGGCAUAAUACCUCACUCUUCAUGAACAAGAUAGAACAGUGAAUGUAAGAAUAUGGCCAGCACCAUUGAAUCCAAGGGACCCAUGUGCAAUAGGCAAUUCCAGCUUUUAGUUUAUUUUAUUAAAAUUUUUCAGCAUAAUCAGCAAUAUGAUACCUUACUUCCUGUUGCCCCCUGCAUGCAUAAAUUAAAAGCUGGAAUUGCCUAUUGACUAGACUAUGGAACUGGAUGGACAACAUGUUGGUUCUAUUGCUUUUGAACUAUGCAAGUAUUUGCACCCACUAAUUGCUGUAGAUGUUGUGGAUGUCUAUUGUCUAUGUUCAGUGUAUCAAGUAUAGGGUUGACUUUUUUAAAAUAGGAUUUUAUCCAAGGGUGGAUUUUUUAUUUUUUUAAAGGAGGGGUGGAAACAUUUAUAGUGGGGUGCAAGCAGCACCUCUGAGUGAGCUUUUUACAGGGGUUAGGCAUUAGGGUUAAAGACUUCUAACUCUAAGGUUGGUGGGGUUAAUUAAACACUUUAUAAGAGGGGUUAGAGAGAUUCUAAGGGGGGUUAACCCCUCCUAACCCCCAGUGAAGCCGCCGAUGAGUUUAUCCAAAAAUUUUCAUAACAACACCUGGUGAGUGGAGUCAUAACGACACCUGGUGAGUGGAGACUCAAGUGGUAGGAAAAAGCAUGAGUGUACGUUGACAGAUGUUAUUUAUAUAAUAAAUAGCAACUAGCUAUGUUUAGCAAGUUAUUAGUGCAUUUAUUUCAAUUGGC